AUUGAACGCUGGCGGCAUGCCUUACACAUGCAAGUCGAACGGUAACGCGGGGCAACCUGGCGACGAGUGGCGAACGGGUGAGUAAUAUAUCGGAACGUGCCCAAUAGUGGGGGAUAGCCCGGCGAAAGCCGGAUUAAUACCGCAUACGACCUGAGGGUGAAAGCGGGGGAUCGCAAGACCUCGCGCUAUUGGAGCGGCCGAUAUCAGAUUAGGUAGUUGGUGGGGUAAAAGCCUAUCAAGCCUACGAUCUGUAGCUGGUCUGAGAGGACGACCAGCCACACUGGGACUGAGACACGGCCCAGACUCCUACGGGAGGCAGCAGUGGGGAAUUUUGGACAAUGGGCGCAAGCCUGAUCCAGCCAUGCCGCGUGCGGGAAGAA
rnacentral:rRNA from 1 species